rnacentral:rRNA from 1 species
AUUGAACGCUGGCGGCAUGCUUUACACAUACAAGUCGAACGGUAGAGGGGGCAACCCCUUGAGAGUGGCGAACGGGUGAGUAAUGCAUCGGAACGUGCCCAGUCGUGGGGGAUAACGCAGCGGAAGCUGUGCUAAUACCGCAUACGAUCUCUGGAUGAAAGCGGGGGACCGAAAGGCCUCGCGCGAUCGGAGCGGCCGAUGUCAGAUUAGGUAGUUGGUGGGGUAAAGGCUCACCAAGCCAACGAUCUGUAGCUGGUCUGAGAGGACGACCAGCCACACUGGGACUGGGACACGGCCCAGACUCCUACGGGAGGCAGCAGUGGGGAAUUUUGGACAAUGGGCGCAAGCCUGAUCCAGCAAUGCCGCGUGCAGGAAGAAGGCCUUCGGGUUGUAAACUGCUUUUGUACGGAACGAAAAGGUUUGGGUUAAUACCCUGGGCCGAUGACGGUACCGUAAGAAUAAGCACCGGCUAACUACGUGCCAGCCGCCGCCGUAA